AACGAACGCUGGCGGCAUGCCUAACACAUGCAAGUCGAACGAUGCCUUCGGGCAUAGUGGCGCACGGGUGCGUAACGCGUGGGAAUCUGCCUUUCGGUUCGGAAUAACUCAGGGAAACUUGAGCUAAUACCGGAUAACGUCGCAAGACCAAAGAUUUAUCACCGAAAGAUGAGCCCGCGUAGGAUUAGCUAGUUGGCGAGGUAAAGGCUCACCAAGGCGACGAUCCUUAGCUGGUCUGAGAGGAUGAUCAGCCACACUGGGACUGAGACACGGCCCAGACUCCUACGGGAGGCAGCAGUGGGGAAUAUUGGACAAUGGGCGAAAGCCUGAUCCAGCAAUGCCGCGUGAGUGAUGAAGGCCUUAGGGUUGUAAAGCUCUUUUACCCGGGAAGAUAAUGACGGUACCGGGAGAAUAAGCCCCGGCUAACUCCGUG
rnacentral:rRNA from 1 species